rnacentral:tRNA from 1 species
GCCCGGCUUGGUCAGUUGGUAGAGCAUGAGACUCUUAAUGUCAGGGUCGUGGGUUUGAGCCCCACGUUGGGCG